GGCCUUGGGCAUCCGCGGUAGUUGGCC
rnacentral:sRNA from 1 species